rnacentral:rRNA from 1 species
AAUAUGGCACAAGGGGGGCAACCGUGAUCCAGCCAUGCCGCGUGGGUUAAGAAGGUUUGCGGUCUGAAAAGCACUUUAAGUAGAGAGGAAUGGCUGUAGGUUAAUACUAUGAAGUUGUGACGUUACCAACAGAAUAAGCACCGGCUAACUCUGUGCCAGCAUCCGCGGUAAUACAGAGGUUGCAAGCGUUAAUCGGAAUUACUGGGCGUAAGGCGCGCGUGGGUGGUUCAGUAAGAUGGGUGUGAAAUCCCCGGGCUUAACCUGGGAACUGCUUUCAUAACUGCUGAGCUAGAGUAAGGUAGAGGGUAGUGGAAUUUCCUGUGUAGCGGUGAAAUGCGUAGAUAUAGGAAGGAACACCAGUGGCGAGGGCGACUACCUGGACUGAUACUGACACUGAGGUGCGAAAGCGUGGGGGGCAACC